AGAGUUUGAUCCUGGCUCAGAACGAACACUGGCGGCGUGGAUUAGGCAUGCAAGUCGAACGAGAAAGUUUCCUUCGGGAAACGAGUACAGUGGCGAACGGGUGAGUAACGCGUGGGAAACCUGCCCUUUAAUGGGGGAUAACAGUUCUAACGAGCUGCUAACACCGCAUACGACCUUUGAACCGCAUGGUUUGAAGAUGAAAGGUGGCCUCUCUUUGAAGCUGCCGUUGAAGGAUGGUCCCGCGUCCCAUUAGCUUGUUGGUGGGGUAAUGGCCUACCAAGGCGACGAUGGGUAGCCGGCCUGAGAGGGUGUCCGGCCACACUGGGACUGAGAUACGGCCCAGACUCCUACGGGAGGCAGCAGUCGAGAAGCUUCCGCAAUGGGCGAAAGCCUGACGGAGCGACGCCGCGUGAGUGAAGAAGGCCCUAUGGGUUGUAAAACUCUGUCAGAUUGGGAAGAAAAUUCUGCGGUUAACACCCGUGGAACUUGACGGUACCAUCAGAGGAAGCACCGGCUAACUCCGUGCCAGCAGCCGCGGUAAUACGGAGGGUGCAAGCGUUGUUCGGAUUCACUGGGUAUAAAGGGUGCGCAGGCGGCCCGAUAAGUCAGAGGUGAAAUAUGACGGCUCAACCGUCAAACUGCCUCUGGAACUGUCAGGCUUGAGUUCGAGAGAGGUAGGUGGAAUUCCAGGUGUAGCGGUGAAAUGCGUAAAUAUCUGGAGGAACACCGGUGGCGAAGGCGGCCUACUGGCUCGAUACUGUCGCUCAGGCACGAAAGCAUGGGGAGCGAACGGGAUUAGAUACCCCGGUAGUCCAUGCCGUAAACGAUGGGUACUAGGUGUUGGGGGAGUCUACCCCCUCAGUGCCGCAGCUAAUGCAUUAAGUACCCCACCUGGGGAGUACGAUCGCAAGGUUGAAACUCAAAGGAAUUGACGGGGGCCCGCACAAGCGGUGGAGCAUGUGGUUUAAUUCGAUGCAACGCGAAGAACCUUACCUAGGCUUGACAUGCAGGGGACAGGUGUAGAAAUACAUCCUUCUUCGGACUCCUGUACAGGUGCUCAUGGCUGUCGUCAGCUCGUGUCGUGAAAUGUUGGGUUAAGUCCCGCAACGAGCGCAACCCUUGUCUUUAGUUGCCAUCAGGUAAUGCUGGGGACUCUAGAGAGACUGCCAGUGAUAAACCGGAGGAAGGUGGGGAUGACGUCAAGUCAGCAUGGCCCUUACGCCUAGGGCUACACACGUGCUACAAUGGUCGGUACAGUGGGCAGCAAUACAGCGAUGUGGAGCGAAUCCCAAAAAGCCGGCCUCAGUUCGGAUUGAAGUCUGCAACUCGACUUCAUGAAGUUGGAAUCGCUAGUAAUCGCGUAUCAGAACGACGCGGUGAAUACGUUCCCGGGCCUUGUACACACCGCCCGUCAAGUCAACCGAGUUGGUUGCACCCCAAGUCGCUGAGCUAACCCGUAAGGGAGGCAGGUGCCCAAGGUGUGAUUAGCGAGGGGGACUAAGUCGGAACAAGGUA
rnacentral:rRNA from 1 species